GCCCGCGUAGCUCAGCUGAAUAGAGCGCCUGGCUUCGGACCAGGAGGUCGUGGGUUUGAAUCCUGCCGCGGGCACCA
rnacentral:tRNA from 1 species